AACAAGUUAUCAUUUGGUCGCCUGACAUCAACUGUGUACUUGUUUGUCUCAAAAGACAGCACAGAUUACACGUUCUAAAAAUGUGCACUAUCUGUCUAGUAAUCGUGUUUUUUCAGCAUUAUUUUCCUCUCAUUUCCUGACGGUAAAUCGAGAAAAGGUCGUAGAGCUGCGACUUUCAGUUCAUAAAACACCAGUAUGUAUCAGUAUUCACCAAACAGAAAGGUAGCAAUUACAACCAAUGUCACUGUGCAAAAUUGAUCCAGCAUUGUUUCCAUGUAAUGCUUUCAACAGUUCUGAACUGUGCAAAAUUGAUCCAACAUUGUUUCCAUGUAAUGCUUUCAGCAGUUCUCAAUUUCUCAAACUGAAAGAUCAACAAUCGAACCUACUACCAAAACCUCACUGUAUCCGGAGCAAUGAUACAUUCGAUUUCUGAAGAAGAUGCACCUUGAUGCUAUUGUCAGAAGUCAUGCUCUCGUAUUCCUCUACGCAUCAACAUCUGGAUACACCAACUCCUGACCCUGAGCAACAAUGGAACAAGGAAAACAUAGGGACACAGUUAGGACUUAGGACAUAGGUGCUAGGCCACAUGCAUUGUGUUGCAACGGCUGCAACAGCUCAAAAUAAGCAAUUCAGUACAGGAUCAACAAAUUGGUUGACAAGUUAUAAACAGUUAAACUUCUGGGCAGUGAAUCAGUGUAUUGGCAUAAUUUUUUUUUGAACUGACAUGGUACCAAGUGAAUUCUCUUGAACACAAAUCGAACCCAAAAAACCCAAGUACAUCAUACUACCUGAAACAACUGCGUUCUCAAAACUUAUAAUCUAAAACACAAAUUCAAAGCUACAGAGGUCUCUCAACAUCUGAACUACAGUCACAAUAAGGAGUUACAAAUUCAGUUGUCAUCAGUACAACACUUGGUCUAUUGGUCAUGUAACUUGCAGGAACAAUUUUACCAACUUGUUGCAGCGAACACCAAACUUGCAAAUGAGCAAUACUACACAAUAUUGAAGCUAGUUAUCUACCCUGUUGUCAUCAGUACGAUCAACUGAUAGAGAAACAGAACAGGUGCUUCAGUGCACGCUGCACAGGUUACUGAAGAAAAGUGAAAACUGCAAGGCUCUCACCUGAUUACCCGGCGGUGAGGACUACGAUGUCCAUGGUCCGCUCGUUAGCAAGAAGGUCGAUGAGGAGUAUGCUGAUAUUUCCCACCGCUUGAAAUACAGCUUGCCCUCAAGCUGUGCUUUGCAUGACCACUAGGAUCUCAAACAAAGUUUGUGAAAUUAUCUUGGC
rnacentral:lncRNA from 1 species